UACAUAGGAGGCAAGCGUUAUCCGGAUUUACUGGGCGUAAAGAGCGUUGAGGCGGUUCUGUAAGUUGGACGUGAAAGCCCUCGGCUCAACUGGGGGAGGUCGUUCAAUACUGCAGAACUUGAGGGCAGCAGAGGGGGGUGGAAUUUCCGGUGUAGUGGUGAAAUGCGUAGAUAUCGGAAGGAACACCAGUGGCGAAGGCGGCCCCCUGGGCUGCUCCUGACGCUGAAUGCGAAAGCUAGGGGAGCGAACGGGAUUAGAUACCCCCGUA
rnacentral:rRNA from 1 species